GAUGAACGCUGGCGGCGUGCCUAAUACAUGCAAGUCGAGCGAACAGACGAGGAGCUUGCUCCUCUGACGUUAGCGGCGGACGGGUGAGUAACACGUGGAUAACCUACCUAUAAGACUGGGAUAACUUCGGGAAACCGGAGCUAAUACCGGAUAAUAUAUUGAACCGCAUGGUUCAAUAGUGAAAGACGGUUUUGCUGUCACUUAUAGAUGGAUCCGCGCCGCAUUAGCUAGUUGGUAAGGUAACGGCUUACCAAGGCAACGAUGCGUAGCCGACCUGAGAGGGUGAUCGGCCACACUGGAACUGAGGCACGGUCCAGACUCCUAGGGGAGGCAGCGGUAGGGAAUCUUCCGCAAAGGGCGAAAGCCUGACGGAGCAACGCCGCGUGAGUGAUGAAGGUCUUCGGAUCGUAAAACUCUGUUAUUAGGGAAGAACAAAUGUGUAAGUAACUAUGCUCGUCUUGACGGUACCUAGUCAGAAAGCCACGGCUAACUACGUG
rnacentral:rRNA from 1 species